CAAGGACAGGAGGUAGUGGGAUCAGGCUCGCUCUGUGCAUGUCCACGGGGCGUCCACUUAACCAAGCCGCUUGAUUUAACGCUUGCCAAUAAAAGUCACUCCAUGAUCCUUCUCAGGAAACUUGCUUUAGUCCUUUCAAUUAGGCUCUCUUCUCUGCGUGCGCUCUUUUUUUGCAUUGACACGACAUUUUGGUUCCUUGCAGUAUGUGAAAAUGAGAACAGACUGAAUUUGGCAACGGUGUUCCAGACGGGCCUUUGCUAAGCCACUUCUCUCCUCUCUAGGGCGCUCAGUGCCCGGCAGAGCCGCUCUCCCAGCGCGAACCUGCCUGCACACUCCGCGUCCUUUCCAAGGGCCCUCCUGCAGGAGAGGCGCAGAAGCGGGCAACGCGGGACAGAGCCAGCUCAGGACUGGCACCACUUGUGCAACCGUCUCCCCAGGGAGGCCUGCGCAGAACCAACAUCUUUCUUUACAGCGAGCCGUUCGGCAGCAGCGGAGCAGAUCAGCUGUUCCCCAACAUGGGGCCAGGUCAGGAAGGUGAAGGAGCGCGGCCCAGCCGCUUACGUCGAGGCAGGCGCGUCCAUUGUGGAGAGGAUGCGCACGAUCUCGGCCCGCUGGGUCGGCGAUAUAUGCUGGGUCAUGUGGACGAUGGAAUCCAUGGCGACUUCUGGAUUGGCCUGGACCAAGCUAGGGCGAGGGCAGAGCACAAGCGGGUAAGUGCAGGUCAGGACUUUGGUGUUUUCAGCAAACGUUUGCAAGGCAUCGUGCACUACAUUAAAAACACGGGGUGAACGUUCGAACAGGAAGAGCGAGGCAGGGGAGACUAAAACCCGUAGCAAAGAACGUAGCCAUGACCAGAUGGUAAAGCCAAAUUAGAAGCAGCGGCCCCGUGGGGGUGUAAACGACCCAUCGAGCUUGCACAGUGAAAGGCGCUUUCGCUCAGCCGGCAGGAAGUUCUAGGUCCGCCCCAAGCCCGAAUCAAACCUUUGACUGCAGGGACAAAUAAGGGGCUGGCAUCAUCCAGAAACCACUGCUAAGGGCGGUCCCUGGAAGCCGUAGGGCGCGUGAGGCGGAGCCUGCCGAUUCUCCCUCUCGGGGAGCCCCCCCCGAGGCCACCUGCUCACCUCCGUAUCUGCUUGAGGACGUAGUCGCGGGAGAUGUACUUGAUGUUCUCAUCCACCACCGAGCGGGCGCCUUCGUCCUCUGCCAGCUGCUUCUCCAGCCACUCCACCAGGUCUCUGUUGUUAUCCCACAAGUAGGCCUGCCGAGGGGAAAAACAGGAGCGCCUGCAGUUCAGUUCAGCGGAAGGAUGGGGCUGCACGAGCUCCCUACUCUUUCUCCACUCCGAUCCUAGUCAGAUCAAGUGCAGGUAUGGAAAUCUAAGCCUUAAUGUAGCUUCAGCCACAUGGUUAGAAUACACAGAGUGAUCUAAUUAAGAAGCUUCUGCUGUAUUCUCCAAAAGCCAGCUUUAUUUUAAGCAAGCUGCUAGUCCUCAUUGGCUUUGCACAAGCAAUGAAAAAGACAAAAAUAGAGAUUGUUUGGAAAACCCAACAAACCUACUUCUUGUAAGCAGUCAUGAAACCUAACCCCCAUUUUGGACGUAAUGAACAUUACAAGGGAGGUCAAAAUAUCAUCCAGCGCAGGGGUGGGGGCACUCUGGUAGCAAAUCUUUUUAAAAACGUUUUUUGGGGGUAGGGGGUUGUACGAUCACUUAGCUCUGUAUUUGCUAGGUAGUUGACUAUAUAAUCAUUCAGGAGUGUGUUAGAAGCUUAAUAGCCUUCUCGCUGCUUCUCCCUGCCUCUCAUUUUCUUUACAAAUCAUUUAAGAAUCGUUAAUGGUUUCCGGAAAAAACCAAGUACCACCAUUAGCGCUCAUUCAUAUUUAUGUCAUUUUAUUUGGGUAAUUAAACACCAAAGCUCAUCAUUUAAAGGUGCACUAUCCUUCUCUGUUAUCUUGCUAAUGAAGUCCAAGUCAGACUGACAAUGAAAAUUCCACAUCAUGAUUCACCAGGCAGCACCUCAAAAUCAGACGUGAGGCAGCUUGCGGCUGGAGGGUUUGGGCCAGCUGCCCGGCUUCCCAUAGGGGGCACCCCGGCGAGGCGAGGCGAGGCAUGGGCCAAACGCUACAGCCGAGGGAAGGAUUCCAGAUUAUUUCCUCAUGACCAUCACCCUCCAACAGAAAAACACAGUCAAAUUUUCUGUGACCUCUUGUUUUGCCAAUAUAUGUAAACCAGGUUAAUGCAAGCCAAAAGGGCUGGCUACUUACUUUUUAAAAAGGAGGACAUGAUUUCUCUGGAGCCCAAAGAGUACAGACCAUACAGACCAAUUCAUUAAACAGAUCCACGCCCUGCCCUUCUAUAAGCAAAUGGUACUUACUCUAUGCACCAAGUCAUAAGAACUUAAGAAGUCUUUCUCAGAAGGUUAUCCGUAAGUAUAUCACGGGAGGAAAGGAGCUUGGAAAUGUUACUUUGAAAAAUCAUCCAAAUUGGGGGGGGGGGGGGCUUGUGUUGCAUUUGCUAGUGAUCCUUGAUGUGGAGAACAGGGGUUGGUUUUUUCAGGUGUUUAUCUGCUGGAAUGGUGUGACAUGGGAUUUUGAAACAUCUGGGCUGGGACGCAUUUUUGUGCUCAACGAAAAGGCAGGCAAUCCUGGGUUCUCCAUGUAAAGCUUGUAGAUCGCCAGGCUCCCAUCGGUCCUCACCCAUGGCUCUGCUGGCUAAGGUUGAUGGGACGUGCAGUCCACUAAGUGCCCACCUUACAGUUUAAAGAUUGGGAAGCAGAAAUAAAAAAUGUUUUCUUCACAAAAAUUACCAUUGCUUAUUCAAAGGAGAAGCCAUCAUUGGGAGAUCUAGAGUACUCGUUUUUACUGAUGCAUCGGGGGCAAACUGGCUUUAAAAAGUAAACAAGUUCAGAUAUUGUAGAAAACAGUUUUUUUAAAUAAAAAUCUAUAGACAUUGAUUUCCAUACACAAAGGUAGCUUUCCAGUGUAUUUAGAUAUGUGUGAAUCAGCAAAAUUGUUCUCUGAACUCCACCUAGAAUCUUGUUCUGACUCAUCUCAUUAUGGGGUUAUUUCCUCCUUGGAAUAGAGAUUCUAAACAUUUUGUGUGUGUAUUUUUUGUGUAUUUUUCCAAACAUUCAAUUUUACACAUCUCUGAAAGGCAUUAAUUCUUUUUCCAUUGAUCAAAGGAUGUUUGUGUACUUGUGCAGGCGGAUUUUAAAAUGCAAGUGUGAUGUUGUUGGAUGCUUUUUUCUCUGGUCUGUGAAUUAGAGUACAAGCUUGGAGAGGCAGAGACAUUGCCCACAGGCUGUUCAAGGUAAGGUUUGUCCCAGAAGGUGCAAAGUCAAAUUCUGACACAAACAGGCUCAAAUGACUUCCUCAUGCAUUCGUAACAAUAUUCAGUAAAACAUUGCUGGCUUCAUGGGAAAGCAUAGAACUCCCAGCUGUAUCACCUGGAAAAGGAAACUACCUGGAAAGGAAGCUGGGGAGCUGCCUUCACCUCAGAGACUGGAGUUGCCUCCAAUCCCAGCCCUGUUAAAUUAGUGUGAAAACAAGAUUCGAACCUGAGAUUAAAGGAAGAAACUUCUGAUGGAAGCUAGUGACUAAUAACUGCAGUAAGUACAGGGCUCGUUGCAACGGUGAUUAUUUUAAAAUUGCAACUGCUGCUCUUGUGCUUCACCCCGAGAGGCAAGGACAAUGCCCUUCUCUCCCACCUACAAAGCAAGGCACUCGCAAACUCUAGGAGGAGGAAGCCCCCCCUCCUCCCCCCGCUGCCACCUCCUCCCAUCCCAGCUGUAAAUGCCUGCCACUUUGCAGACCUGCGUAAAGCUAGGAUUUGCUGAAGAAUCCCAAAGCUUUUAGUUUAGGCGAAUAUUUAAUACUCUUAUUAAUCAUUUUUAAUCCGUUUGCCUUUAAUUAAGAAACAGCAUGAUGCUUUCCUAUCAACAUAUGCCAGGGAGCAGAUUAAUUGUGGCUUAAGAUAACUUUCCUUGAUUGGUGUAAUGUAUUAGCUAACUAGAUGCCUGGCUUAAAAAAAGAAAAAAAAAAAGAUGCUCAGAUGCUCCAAAGAAAAACUCCCCCCCCCUUUCCUCUUUCUCUUUUCCUUUUAGAGCCCUAAAGCAUUCCAGAGUCUAUAUGAUCUAUGUGUUUUGUUUCUUCUUCAAGUCACAACACAAAAAGGAUGUAAUGCCUACUAGCGAUGCUGGAGACUGUCCAUCGCAAAAAAUAUUUGUGUUAAAAUUGACGCAUAAAGAAACAAAAAUUAAAAGCUAACGGCAAAAUUAUCUCAGAUUAUGGUUUUUUAAAUAGACGAGCCACCUAACUAGUUUGAUUCUUUGCCAAGUUCCUAUUGCAAGGGUUGGAAACUGGCAACUGUAUUUGCUCCCAAGACUGGAGUGAGGGGACAUCCCUCCCAAAACAGCUUCUUGGAAAGUGACAUGGGAACUCCUAGAUCAAAGAGAAUGGACUCAGAGAAAUCUGGGAUCUCAGGACUGAAAGGGCCUGGCCUAGAGCCAGGCACGCUGGAGGGGCUGUCACUGGUUUGCCACCCUGUUGUUUUGUGUCUCAGUGUGCAAAUAGUUUCAUUGUUAUUUAUUAUAAGUGGGUUAUUUUUUAUUACUGGUGUGUUAGCCAGGCCUGCACAACCCUGAAGGGGCCGCUGUGCGCAUUUCCACAGGUCUCCCCUGGCUGAUGUCCCGGGGGCUGCAGUCAGGGUGCGGUGGGUACUGACCAUGGACACUGACCCCCCCCAGGCAGGGUCCUAGCAGGUUUGCUUCACAUUUGGUUUUUCUACUUUCCCUUACCUGGGCAGAUGUCAAACUGUCAAUUCAAAGCAGUUCCCUCAGCACUGGGGACCUCAGGAACUUUGUGUUCCGUGAUAGGUUCCAGAGCCAACCAUUCCUGGAAUUCUAGGUCCCCAAGAACCCACCUCUUCUCCUGGAGCACAGAGGUUUGCAAGCUAUCUGUCACAACUCUGGUUCUUUUUAAAAAGGUUUUAAGAAAACAGGGACAUUACCAUUCACACCUACACAUGUCAUUGCAAAAAAAAGCCCACACAGCCCGCCAAAAGUGCAGCGAGUGUCGAAAUGGAGAUUGCAAACAGUGGUUGAGGGGAAACUCUGCCAAGCCAGAAAGCGGGUGGGCCGAGCGGGAAGGAAGGCCGCUCUUGCAGCUCCUGACCUGCCCCGCUGCUGCCACAACGGUGUGCUCCAAGCCACCCGAGAAGCUGUGCUCAGUGCUUUUGUGGCGCCAUUUCAUACACGUAUAUAAAAGGUGUUACUCUAUGAGGCAAUGAAAUGUACUGCCUAGAAGAGCAUCUCCAACUAACGGACAAGAACUAAAGAGAACCACCCAAACUAACCAGCUGCAUGCAAGCUUGGGGAAAUGUCUCCGUGGGGAAUUCUAAUUCCUAGCAUGUUCCAAAGGUGCUAUUUUCAGAACAUGUAGCUUAACAGAUACCGCUUCACAAUCAUGGCUAUACUGAGACUGGGAAAGUACCUGAAAUAGUUGUAACUUGGCGGAUUUUCAUCCACCAGGGUUGAUCCAAGUCUGCAGUACCUGCUUUUAAGAAUGACAAUUCUGCACAGAAGCAAGCCGAGUUCUGUCGCCUGUUGCAACUCAGUCUUACCAAGCCUGCCAGUAAUCCAAGGAGAUUUGCUCCACCUCUAGAUCCCAGAAAACUUAACAGCACCUGUAUCUUAAUCUCAGUUUUCAUCAGCCUUUCACACUACAUCCAUAAGAACCAGAAACUUCACUUUAAAAAAAACAAAAAAAAAACACCAAGAGGGAACUUUUGAGUAAAAAAAAAUGUUUCAUCUGUACCUUGACAGUGCCUUCUACUUCCACAAACCAGCGCCUCAGCAUCGCCUGGAUCUGGCCGUCUGUCAGUUCGGGGUUCGCACCAUGAAUCUUCUUUUUGACCAGGUCUUCGAGGAGAAGCCGCCUGAGCCUCCAGUAGAAGAAAGUACGCGACGUCUUCCAGUCCAGAAUAUCCUGCAAGACAAACACAGACGCCUUUAAUAGGGAAAUGGGGAACACCCCGCUGCAGCGCCAUGGAAUCCACAGACACACACACACAAUCAAGUGGAGCCAGGAAGAGAGUCUUCCAACCGACUCUGAACUCACACAAAGACCAGAGAAUGCGCUAUAGCAUGAAGAUUUAUGUAUUUUAUUAUUUGUAUUUAAACCUUUUGUAUGAUAGGGAGCAGGCAUUUCACAAGUACUUCUCCAAAAUGGCAUUUAUUAAUUUGCUUCAUAUCCCACCUUUUCCUUUUUUUUAAAGCACUCCAAGUGGCUUCCGUCAGUCUCCUCCUCCUCCUCGCACUCUUAUCCCUAUAACAGGAACCUUGAAAGGUUGUGCUAGGCGUCUUAUUUCUUUUAAUUGAAGCCCUUUAUUUAUUAAACACCUGGUAAAUUUUAUUUAUUUAAAAGCUUUACAGCCACUAACAAAACAUUUAUUUUUCUACUAGAAGAUGCUAUUGCUGGAGCAUCAGUUUCACGGGGCAUCCCCUGGAAACCCAUCAGCAUGUUGAGCCCACAGAUGAUACUCUCAUCAUUUCGGUAUGAAAUAAAUGCUUACCACACUGUAAAAAAU